rnacentral:lncRNA from 1 species
UCCAACCAUAAGGUUGUAGACAAUCCCUCAGCUUUCUUUUCAUAACUAGAGACCCAAGAAAUCAUAAAGAGGAGCAUGAUAUCACAGAUGAGCUUUAUUUUUGUGAACUAACACUGCAGGUUUCCCACUUUGGACAGCUGUAGUCAGUCACGUGCUACCCAGAACAAAACCCCACAAAAGAAGUUAACUCUAGCCUGGGGGGGGGGGGAAUCCUUUUAUCCUUCAUGAGUCUGAGGCCUUUAAAUUUGUCACCUGAAUGUGAUAUUAACAUAAUCGUCUGCAUUUUCUGCUAAUGAAUGCACCUGUUUCUAAGACUUUAUUUUAGCAGUUUUAAUGAGCUCUUCAAAGGAGUUUGCCUGGACUUACCGCUAAAAGAGAAAAAGCAGCUGGAAGCAACUAACUGCAUUCGGAAUUCGAGUCAGGGCUCUGUGAAGUUGUUAAACUUGAGAAGGAGUAUCUACGCAUCUGUCUGCAAGGUGACAGAGGAUGCUGAGCCAGAGCCACAGUGAGUGGGAAAUGCUCUAGUGAAGGUGGGCCUGGCUAUGGAAGCCUCUUCGUUGCUCGGCCAGAAGAGCUGCAAGCAAAGAAUGGAAAUUUCCAAACGCAGCAUCGAGAGCUGCUGUUCUGCUGACUGUCUGGCUCAGCCGGGGUCAUCUGCUUCUCUAAAGACAUCAAGGAAUGCCAAGCUGGUCCUGCCGCCUGAGUCAACAGGCAUCUAAUAGUUCCCUGAGAUCUGGCAUGUUCCUUCCACCCACGGAUGCUGUUCCUACAGAAGUCUCAACAGCAGCAACUCCAUGGAAGUUGGUGUCAGGGCGUCAGCUUCCUGCAGACGCCGAAGGACCCCCGAGUGGCUUUGGAACAGAAGGAAUAUUCUCAAACCUAAGCCAUGUGGUUUUUGUCUGACUGAAAGUUUGGUUUCUGUUUGUCACCUUUCAGGAAGUUCUUAACAAACAAGUGUUAUCUAUGAGUUCUGUGCUCUGCCAUCCCCUGGCACCAGGGAAAGGACUGCAAUGAAGGGUUUUUGACAUCCUUGUUCUUUAUACUAAACACUCUUUAUUGAAACAAGUUUGAUAACAGUGACGAAUUUCUGGCAAGAAACUUAAAAAAAAAUCACACAGCGGCCCCUGACUAUAAACUCAACACUGCCACAAGUUCGGGACCAAUCAGGUCUAGAGGGUGAGACCCUAUCUUGACAAGCUGAGCAGGAGCAUGGGUUAGGGAGGUGGCUCAGUUGGUGGAAUGCUUGCUGUGCAG